AACUCGGGCCUUAGCUGCGGCCAGAGAAUGGAAUCUUAGCCAAACUCAAGAAUGCUUUGUGAAGAAAAAACAGAGCACUCCGGUGGUUGUAGCGCCUAGUGGUGCCCUGAUUCGUACUGACGCUGCGUGGAAUGAAAGUCUUUUGCUUGCAGGUCUGGGUUGGACAAUAACUACGGAAAACCGGUCGUGCAAGUUCGCACUAUAUGCAGAAUUCGUCGGAUCUCCCCUUGUUGCUGAAAGCCUGGCCUUGCGAGCCGCUCUGCAAAAAUGCAAGGAUAUGGAGCUUCGAAGAAUUUGUUGUGAAUCUGAUUCAUCUCUUCUGAUCAAGGCGUUGCAGACGAAUGUUAUGAGCAUGGAAAUCUACGGUAUCGUAGCGGAUAUCAAUGAACUAAUUCUUGCUUUUGAUUCUGUUUCGUUUCGAUGGAUUUCUAGAGAGAAAAACAUGGAAGCUGAUAUGUUAGCUAAGAAUUGUCUAGCUGAUGAACAAGUAUUGUAUGCCUUAAAUGGUACCUAACUCUCUGUUUGAGUAAUGAAUGUUUGUGUUUCAAAAAAAAAAAAAAAUGUUUGGAAGUUUAUGACCCUACGUAAUUGCUUAAUCUAUUAAUCUGAAUGAUAUAUAGGUCAAGAAACAUAAAUUAAGCAUAUAUAGUGGAGAAGGAUAUAUAGGUUUCAAUAUAAUUAGUAAGCAUAGAAAUAAAGAGAGCCAGGGCAGAUCUUUGAGUAUUUUUGACUAAAUAACCAUUAUUGUGGUCAAGAAACAUAAAUUAAACUACCAAUAAUUCAUACCAAAUACCUAUUUCUUGCAACUAAUUCACCCCUUCAUCCAGUAGCUGCUUACUUUAAUUAAACAAUAGACAAAAUUGCAGCUACGACACUAAAUACAACUGUUAUAACUUCUUUACAUGUGUUUUCUGUCUGCUUAAAGUAAUAACCUUUAAUCACACCGUGAACUUUAUCCAUCACAUUUUACUGUGUAUGCAAGUAUAGAUGGUGGUUUUCAUAGUAUAUAACCAAAGAUUAAUAUGUAUACUAUUUCAACUUGGAGUCUCGUUAUUUAUUCUUAUUGACAUUUAUCCCUAUAAUAGCGCUAUGAUGAUAAGGAAUAGUGUUGCUUUGGAGAAAAGAAAGUAACAGAAGAAACAAAGAAAUGGACUCUCCUUUUUACAGAGCUCGAUUAAAAAUAAACUUUGCAGAAAAAAAAUGUCGGCUUCAAACCCUACAAAGCUCCCACAGUAUCCAUGUUUCCCUCACUCCACGCCCCAUUUCUCUCUUUUAUAGAACCGUAUAGUAUAGAUGAUCGUAUAUUUCAGUCUUAUAUACAUAUGUUUGUAUAUGGCUUUAUGCAAUGCAACUGACGGCACUCGUAUGGUAACCAUUUUCAUUUUAUGGCACCGUAUAUGUAAUGUGUAUUGAUGUGUUGAGUGUGUGUGUAGGUGUAAAUGGAAUGUUCAUUAUAAGUAUGAUUGUUCUUAUAUUCUCUCCUCCUGAUUGUUAUGAUUUAUUUAUCUGCCUUUUUUUCCUGUUGGCAUUAUUACGCAUUCUCAAUGUAAUAAUACAAGCCUUCUUUUCUUGGUCCCUUUUAUUUCCUUUUUUUAUCGCUUUUUCAUAACUUUUAGUUGCAUGCUACGAGUUUUUGGUUUGUAAUUCUACAUCUCUUAGGAUCCCACAUUCAUAUGAAGUUAAAAUAGUAUAUAAGAAACAUAGCUUACUUAAAAUAGAGUAGUGAUUUAUAUUUUUCUCUAUUAUGUUAUAUGAUCCCUUGUUAUGAGAUAAUAAUGUAUAUUUUAGACUUUUAGUUCUAUUUUAGAUUAAAAGAAAUAAAUAGUAAAAAAAUAAAGAGAGAUUAAGUGAAAUAUACCCAAAAAAGACUCAUAUUAGUUAAAUGCCCUAGUGGUGAUAAACUCCAAAUGCCUUCUACCCUUUUGGGCCUAGAAGGACAAUAAUACCCUUGCUUUUUUGAUAACAUCAUCGGCUGAACUACGAGUUGUGUCAGAGAAGAUAUGCAGAAGAAAUUUGGUGUAGAAUUGUUUGCAGGUGUAGACCUGACUGUAGAGGACGCUUCACUGAAGAAUCUGGUGGAUAAAGAGUAUUUUUUAUACAGCCUCCAAUGGCUUCGUUGAUUGUGUAAGGAAGGCAUUAUCUGAUAAGAGGAAGGGUAGGAUGCUGGACACUGUCGAUCAUGGAAAGCACUUUCUGAACUUGGAGCUGGGUUCAGGUUCAGGUUCACACACCCAGCAAUUUGGAACGGCUGAUGUCCUACCAAACGACGACGGUUCUGAUGAUUAUGGGAUUCUAGGUAUUUAGCAAACAGGCUAACAUUUUCAAUAGUUGCUAAUUUCUAUAUUACCUGAUAAUGUUUAUAUGUAGGUGAUACUUGAAUACGUUAACUAAUACUUGUGUCCAUGUUAUUUAUCAGAUGGAAUUGUCAGCCUUAUAUGGCUUGGCGUUAUGUACACUAAUGUCAGCACAUAAGUUAAUAACCCCGUCUUUAGUAGAUAAACAAUAAGCAUAGAACAUAACUUUUUAGUUGAUAAAUAAUAUGUUAUAUGUUUUGUUAUUGGUUUAUCAGUUUGACAGGAUAGUUAUAGGCUAUCAUAAUGUCACCGCAUAGCUAAAUAUGGAUUCCCUUCAGUAUUGUUAGUUGAUAAUAAAAAUGUUAUCUGAUAAGAGGAUGGAUUAUCAUUUAUGACCUAUAAAUACCUACAUGUGACUAAAAACAAGACCCAGUUCUUUGUGUAAACAAACAUGCAUGAAACAUACCUUUCAGUUGAUAAUGAUUUUUUAUCUGAUUUGGUAGUGGAUUAGCAUUUUGGAGGGAAAAUUACAAUCUAUCAGAUACUCACCUCAUAUAUAAAUAAGGCUUAUGUGGGGGUUGUUAGUUGCUAAUGAGGGUGUUAUCUGAUAAGUGAAUUGUUUAUCAGUUAUGAAGAUCAAUAUGACCACAUGUCUAAAAUAUGGACACCAUGGUUUUAGUGCAGGCACGAUACAUGUAACCUACAUAUGGUAGCUGGUAAUUAAAAUGUUAACUAAUGAGUGGAUUGUUUGUCAUUUAAGUCCCACAACAUCAUCACAUAUGGGUCCAAUGUUGUUAGUUAACGGCCAAUUGUUUUGCAGCUUCUGCGAGAAUGCAAGGAGUGAUAGCCUUACAUUGAUCAACAUCACCUGAGGUGUGAGCUUCAAUCAAGAGCAUUGUCAUGAUGGUUGCCUCGUUCACCAGUCGGUUCCUCGCCAGCUGCAAACACUUUCGAAGGGAGGAUGAUUUCUUCCAUCUUAUGAUUAAGAAAUCAAAGCACUAUCUUUGACUAGAGUUUUGGUUUUAGGAGAAGAAAAAAAAAUUGGAUAAAAGAGGAAUGAAUCAGUGAAUUGAAAGUAGGUGGUUAUUAGAGGUUGAACUAAUGCUUAGACCGAUGGAAAAUGAUGUGUGUCCUGUCCUGACACUCAACGCAGAGAGUCUCCUGACACUCAACGCACAGGGUCUAUGGUGUAGGGAAAAGCAGGUGGUAAGGGCAAAAUGGGAAGGAAAUUUGGCGUCAAAGAUAAUGGGUAUAUUGCAAAAUAGAGGUUGGUUUAGGUGCAUUGACACCAAUUUCUCAAAAAUAAAAGAGAAGAUUUUAGUGUUUGAAAAUUGAAAACUAGGGAUGGGUCAAUAUCCAUAGAUUGACUAAACCUGAAUCUAAAAUUGUUAAUAGAUUCUGUAAUAAGACCCACUGAUCCAUAACUGAAUGAUCCUACUCUAUACGUACCAAUAGCUCA